GACAGAGGGUGCAAACGUUGUUCGGAAUUACUGGGCGUAAAGCGCGUGUAGGCGGCUAUGCAAGUCGGAUGUGAAAGCCCUCGGCUCAACCGGGGAAGUGCACCCGAAACUGCAAAGCUAGAGUCUCGGAGAGGAUCGUGGAAUUCUCGGUGUAGAGGUGAAAUUCGUAGAUAUCUGGAGGAACACCGGUGGCGAAGGCGGCAUCCUGGACCAAUAUUGACGCUGAGGAGCGAAAGCCAGGGGAGCAAACGGG
rnacentral:rRNA from 1 species